CUGAUUCAGUCCAUCACAAUAUCAGUAGACAAGCUGAGGCAAACUUAGUAUAUGCUUGGGAUGGUCUAAUGAAUAUGAGACAAUCUGUGGUACAAAAGAAGUUGCAGCUACAGAGGAAAAACAUGGAAAUGAAAUUGAGUUUUGUUCUUUA